rnacentral:sRNA from 1 species
UGCCCUUGUAGGCAGACGAGCACACGGCCC